rnacentral:rRNA from 1 species
GGGACGAACGCUGGCGGCGUGCUUAACACAUGCAAGUCGAGCGGUAAGGCCUUUCGGGGUACACGAGCGGCGAACGGGUGAGUAACACGUGGGUGAUCUGCCCUGCACUUCGGGAUAAGCCUGGGAAACUGGGUCUAAUACCGGAUAUGACCUCCUAUCGCAUGGUGGGUGGUGGAAAGAUUUAUCGGUGCAGGAUGGGCCCGCGGCCUAUCAGCUUGUUGGUGGGGUAAUGGCCUACCAAGGCGACGACGGGUAGCCGACCUGAGAGGGUGACCGGCCACACUGGGACUGAGACACGGCCCAGACUCCUACGGGAGCAGCAGUGGGAAUAUGCACAAUGGGCGAAAGCCUGAUGCAGCGACGCCGCGUGAGGGAUGACGGUCCGUUACGGGUUGUAAACCUUCUUUCAGCAGGACGAAGCGCAAGUGACGUACCUGCAGAAGAG